rnacentral:rRNA from 1 species
GCUUAGCCCUAAAUCCUGGUGCUUGCAUUACCCAAGUACCCGCCCGAGAACUACGAGCACAAACGCUUAAAACUCUAAGGACUUGGCGGUGCCCUAAACCCACCUAGAGGAGCCUGUUCUAUAAUCGAUAACCCACGAUACACCCAACCAUCUCUUGCCAACACAGCCUACAUACCGCCGUCGCCAGCCCGCCUAAAAUGAAAGAGCAGCGAGCACAACAGCUACACCAGCUAACAAGACAGGUCAAGGUAUAGCCCACGAGAUGGGAGAAAUGGGCUACAUUUUCUAAAAUAGAAUACUACGAAAAAGGGUAUGAAAUCCCCCUUAGAAGGAGGAUUUAGCAGUAAAACAGAAUAAGAAAGUCUAUUUUAAGCCGGCCCUAGGGC